UCUUGGACAAUGGGGGCAACCCUGAUCCAGCCAUGCCGCGUGGGUGAAGAAGGCCUUCGGGUUGUAAAGCCCUUUAGUUGGGGAGGAAAGGUUGCGUGCUAAUACCGCGUGACCGUGACGUUACCCAAAGAAUAAGCACCGGCUAACUCCGUGCCAGCAGCCGCGGUAAUACGGAGGGUGCAAGCGUUAAUCGGAAUUACUGGGCGUAAAGCGCACGUAGGCGGUCACUUAAGUCGGAUGUGAAAUCCCUGGGCUCAACCUGGGAACUGCAUUCGAUACUGGGUGGCUGGAGUAUGGCAGAGGGGAGUGGAAUUCCAGGUGUAGCGGUGAAAUGCGUAGAUAUCUGGAGGAACAUCAGUGGCGAAGGCGACUCCCUGGGUUAAUACUGACGCUGAGGUGCGAAAGCGUGGGGAGCAAACAGG
rnacentral:rRNA from 1 species